GACGAACGCUGGCGGCGUGCUUAACACAUGCAAGUCGAACGGAAAGGCCCUGCUUUUGUGGGGUGCUCGAGUGGCGAACGGGUGAGUAACACGUGAGUAACCUGCCCUUGACUUUGGGAUAACUUCAGGAAACUGGGGCUAAUACCGGAUAGGAGCUCCCGCUGCAUGGUGGGGGUUGGAAAGUUUCGGCGGUUGGGGAUGGACUCGCGGCUUAUCAGCUUGUUGGUGGGGUAGUGGCUUACCAAGGCUUUGACGGGUAGCCGGCCUGGGAGGGUGACCGGCCCCAUUGGGACGGAGAUGCGGCCCAGACUCCUACGGGAGGCAGCAGUGGGGAAUAUUGCACAAGGGGCUGAAGCCUGAUGCAGCAACGCCGCGUGCGGGAUGACGUCCUUCGGGUUGUAAUCCGCUUUCGCCUGUGACGAAGCGUGAGUGACGGUAAUGGGUAAAGAAGCACCGGCUAACUACGUG
rnacentral:rRNA from 1 species